UUUGAAUAUUUUGCUAAUGUUUAUGAAAUUGCCUGAUAUAAGAUAUUAAUUUAAGCAAGCAAUAAAUAAGUAAAAAUUAAGAAGAGGGGAAAAUCUAGUGACUUGUUCAGCAAUACUAGCUGCUUCAGCAUAAACAUCUUGAAUAUUCUCAGCAAGUCUGAAGAAAUAUAUUUGAUAUUCCUCCUGCAGCAACAAUAAAUGGGCCAGUGGUUAAAGUUAUGAGAGCAAUCUGCCAACAGUUGAUAAAUUCAAUUGCAAGCCCACUGAAGAAUGUAGCCAUGUGAGAGUGGGAGGAGAGAGGGAAUGUUGAACACGUCCUUGGGCUGAAGGGCUUUUAAAUCUGAAAACCAUCGAGUUUCUAGAUCACCAGGGUGUCUUACUCUUACAUAAGUUGAAUUAUAUGAGGAAACUUGUUACAGCAUUCUACAUUGUCGGACUCGUACCACCCAACAAAGGCUUGAAAUGAAGUAACAGCAAUUCAAGUGACGUCACUCAAAAUUGGUGAUCAAGUAUUGCUGAAAUUACAAGGUGGUGCUACACAUACUGGUGUAGAUUCAAGAGCUCAUCAUCGAGAAAUGAAUUAAUUGACUUGUAUUUUGUAUUCUUGAUUUAUAAAUGUCUAGUUGUUAAUGACAUAAUUUUGU
rnacentral:lncRNA from 1 species